ACGGCGCACGGGUGCGUAACACGUGGGUAAUCUGCCCUUCGAUGGGGAAUAACUCCGGGAAACCGAAGCUAAUUCCGCAUAACAUUCCUUGGACUUCGGUCCGAGGAUUCAAAGCCGUAAGGCGUCGGAGGAGGAACCCGCGCACGAUUAGGUAGUUGGCAGGGUAACGGCCUACCAAGCCUUUGAUCGUUAGCUGGUCUGAGAGGAUGGCCAGCCACACUGGAACUGAGACACGGUCCAGACUCCUACGGGAGGCAGCAGUGGGGAAUCUUGCACAAUGGGCGAAAGCCUGAUGCAGCGACGCCGCGUGGGGGAUGAAGCUUUUCGGAGUGUAAACCCCUUUCGACCCGGACGAAUACCUCGCAAGAGGGGUGACGGUACGGGUAUAAGAAGCCCCGGCUAACUACGUGCCAGCAGCCGCGGUAAGACGUGGGGGGCCAGCGUUGUUCGGAAUUACUGGGUGUAAAGGGUCAGUAGGCGGUGUGGCAAGUCGGGAGUGAAAUCUCUGGGCUCAACUCAGAGACUGCUUCCGA
rnacentral:rRNA from 1 species